rnacentral:rRNA from 1 species
CAGUAGCCACGGUAAUGCAUAGGUGGCAAGCGUUGUCCGGAAUUAUUGGGCGUAAAGGGCUCGCAGGCGGUUUCUUAAGUCUGAUGUGAAAGCCCCCGGCUCAACCGGGGAGGGUCAUUGGAAACUGGGAAACUUGAGUGCAGAAGAGGAGAGUGGAAUUCCACGUGUAGCGGUGAAAUGCGUAGAGAUGUGGAGGAACACCAGUGGCGAAGGCGACUCUCUGGUCUGUAACUGACGCUGAGGAGCGAAAGCGUGGGGAGCGAACAGGAUUAGAUACCCCGGUAGUCCCUGUCUCUUAUAC